GGGCCCUUAGCUCAGCCGGUUAGAGCGGCGGACUCAUAAUCCGUUGGUCGCUGGUUCGAAUCCAGCAGGGCCCA
rnacentral:tRNA from 1 species